AGCAGCCGCGGUAAUUCCAGCUCCAAUAGCGUAUAUUAAAGUUGUUGCAGUUAAAAAGCUCGUAGUUGAAUCUCAGGCCUGGCUGGACGGUCCGCCCUUCGGGUGAGUACUGUCUGUGGUCGGGUCCUACCUUCUGGCGAAGCGUCAUGGCCUUAACCGGCCGUGGCGGGGAACCAGGACUUUUACUGUGAAAAAAUUAGAGUGUUCAAAGCAGGCAAUCGCUUGGAUACAUUAGCAUGGAAUAAUGGAAUAGGACAAUGGUUCUAUUUGUUGGUUUCUAGGACCGUUGUAAUGAUUAAUAGGGAUAGUUGGGGGCAUUAGUAUUCAAUUGUCAGAGGUGAAAUUCUUGGAUUUAUUGAAGACUAACUACUGCGAAAGCAUUUGCCAAGGAUGUUUUCAUUAAUCAAGAACGAAAGUUAGGGGAUCGAAGACGAUCAGAUACCGUCGUAGUCUUAACCAUAAACUAUGCCGACUAGGAAUCGGGCGAUGUUGAAAAAAUGACGC
rnacentral:rRNA from 1 species